rnacentral:rRNA from 1 species
GCCCUCUGGUUGAUCCUGCCGGAGGUCAUUGCUAUUGGAGUCCGAUUUAGCCAUGCUAGUUGUACGAGUUCAGACUCGUAGCAUAUAGCUCAGUAACACGUGGCCAAACUACCCUACAGACCGCAAUAACCUCGGGAAACUGAGGCCAAUAGCGGAUAUAACUCUCAUGCUGGAGUGCAGAGAGUUAGAAACGUUCCGGCGCUGUAGGAUGUGGCUGCGGCCGAUUAGGUAGAUGGUGGGGUAACGGCCCACCAUGCCGAUAAUCGGUACGGGUUGUGAGAGCAAGAGCCCGGAGACGGAAUCUGAGACAAGAUUCCGGGCCCUACGGGGCGCAGCAGGCGCGAAACCUUUACACUGCACGACAGUGCGAUAAGGGGACUCCAAGUGCGAGGGCAUAUAGUCCUCGCUUUUCUGUACCGUAA